rnacentral:rRNA from 1 species
AACGGAAAGGCCCUGCUUGCAGGGUACUCGAGUGGCGAACGGGUGAGUAACACGUGGGUGAUCUGCCCUGCACCUCGGGAUAAGCUUGGGAAACUGGGUCUAAUACCGGAUAGGAGCCAUCUUUAGUGUGGUGGUUGGAAAGUUUUUUCGGUGUAGGAUGAGCUCGCGGCCUAUCAGCUUGUUGGUGGGGUAAUGGCCUACCAAGGCGGCGACGGGUAGCCGGCCUGAGAGGGUGUACGGCCACAUUGGGACUGAGAUACGGCCCAGACUCCUACGGGAGGCAGCAGUGGGGAAUAUUGCACAAUGGGCGCAAGCCUGAUGCAGCGACGCCGCGUGGGGGAUGAAGGCCUUCGGGUUGUAAACUCCUUUCGCUAGGGACGAAGCUUUUUUGUGACGGUACCUAGAUAAGAAGCACCGGCUAACUACGUGCCAGCAGCCGCGGUAAUACGUAGGGUGCGAGCGUUGUCCGGAAUUACUGGGCGUAAAGGGCUCGUAGGUGGUUUGUCGCGUCGUCUGUGAAAUUCUGGGGCUUAACUCCGGGCGUGCAGGCGAUACGGGCAUAACUUGAGUGCUGUAGGGGUAACUGGAAUUCCUGGUGUAGCGGUGAAAUGCGCAGAUAUCAGGAGGAACACCGAUGGCGAAGGCAGGUUACUGGGCAGUUACUGACGCUGAGGAGCGAAAGCAUGGGUAGCGAACAGGAUUAGAUACCCUGGU